AGGGUGGAGCUCAGUGGCAGAGUGCUUGCCUGGCAAGCAUGAGGACCUGGGUUCAAUUCCCAGCCCU
rnacentral:tRNA from 1 species